rnacentral:lncRNA from 1 species
UCAUCUGACUCAAAAUCUAGAUUAUCAAAAUUUAUUCCAUCGCCUAUCCAAUCAUCAUCUCCUAUAUGAGUCUCGUAUCCUGUACUUACUACUACUUCCACCAUAGGCGAAGUCACUAUAGCGGAAGAUAUCACAGGAGAAGUCACCAUAGGAUUUUGAAUAAUUAGACAAUAAGACCAGCAGUAGUAGAAUGUUGUUCUGCAAACAUGGUCUCAACACUAUCCGUUUGCACCAUCGGAGUCACUAA